CCUCAAACAGGCACCCAGCAUGGCUACGCACAGGUGUGCUCAGGUGCUGCCUUCAUCAGGGAGAGGAAAACAUCUUCUGAAGCUCCACUGAGCAGCUUCUGGCAUCAGGUAUAAGGCACAUCUCAGCCACGCCAGCUGUGCAGAAGGGAUUUGUGGUCCUUCUCUUGCUGCUGUGUGUAAGGAGCUUGGGUUCUUGGGACAGGUUCCCUGCACCCCCUUGGUUUUCAAACUUCUGCCUGGUGACAGCUGAGUCUGACAGUCUGAAUUCAAAUCUGGAGCACACCAGGAAAACACGAGACAUGUCAGACAACCUAAUGCAAGUCCACCAGA